rnacentral:rRNA from 1 species
UUCUGGCUCAGACGAACGCUGGCGGCGCGUUUAAGCAUGCAAGUCGAGCGGCAAGGGCCUUCGGGCCCCUAGAGCGGCGGACGGGUGAGUAACACGUGGACAAUCUGCCCCCCGGCCCGGGAUAGCCCAGGGAAACCUGGAUUAAUACCGGAUGAGACGGGACCCGCGAUGGCGGGACCCGGGAAAGGCGCUGCGGCGCCGCCGGGGGAUGAGUCUGCGUCCCAUUAGCUAGACGGCGGGGUAACGGCCCACCGUGGCGACGAUGGGUAGCCGGCCUGAGAGGGUGGACGGCCACAUUGGAACUGAGACACGGUCCAGACUCCUACGGGAGGCAGCAGCUAAGAAUCUUCCGCAAUGGGCGAAAGCCUGACGGAGCCGACGCCGCGUGAACGAAGAAGGCCGUGAGGUUGUAAAGUUCUUUUCGGGAGGGGGAACAACCGUGGCAGGGAAUGGCCGCGGGAUGACGUGAAUCCCGGAAUAAGCCCCGGCUAACUACGUGCCAGCAGCCGC